rnacentral:rRNA from 1 species
AACACGUGGGCAACCUGCCUAUAAGACUGGGAUAACUUCGGGAAACCGGAGCUAAUACCGGAUACGUUCUUUUCUCGCAUGAGAAAAGAUGGAAAGACGGUUUACGCUGUCACUUAUAGAUGGGCCCGCGGCGCAUUAGCUAGUUGGUGAGGUAAUGGCUCACCAAGGCGACGAUGCGUAACCGACCUGAGAGGGUGAUCGGCCACACUGGGACUGAGACACGGCCCACACUCCUACGGGAGGCAGCAGUAGGGAAUCUUCCGCAAUGGACGAAAGUCUGACGGAGCAACGCCGCGUGAACGAAGAAGGCCUUCGGGUCGUAAAGUUCUGUUGUUAGGGAAGAACAAGUACCAAAGUAACUGCUGGUACCUUGACGGUACCUAACCAGAAAGCCACGGCUAACUACGUGCCAGCAGCCGCGGUAAUACGUAGGUGGCAAGCGUUGUCCGGAAUUAUUGGGCGUAAAGCGCGCGCAGGUGGUUCCUUAAGUCUGAUGUGAAAGCCCACGGCUCAACCGUGGAGGGUCAUUGGAAACUGGGGAACUUGAGUGCAAAAGAGGAGAGUGGAAUUCCAAGUGUAGCGGUGAAAUGCGUAUAGAUUUGGAGGAACACCAGUGGCGAAAGCGACUUUCUGGUCUGUAACUGACACUGACGCGCGAAAGCGUGGGGAGCAAACAGGAUUACAUACCCUGGUAGUCCACGCCGUAAACGAUGAGUGCUAAGUGUUAGAGGGUUUCCGCCCUUUAGUGCUGCAGCUAACGCAUUAA